rnacentral:rRNA from 1 species
AAUGAACGCUGGCGGCAUGCCUAACACAUGCAAGUCGAACGAAGGCUUCGGCCUUAGUGGCGCACGGGUGCGUAACGCGUGGGAAUCUGCCCUCAGGUUCGGAAUAACAGCGAGAAAUUGCUGCUAAUACCGGAUGAUAUCGCGAGAUCAAAGAUUUAUCGCCUGAGGAUGAGCCCGCGUAGGAUUAGCUAGUUGGUGUGGUAAAGGCGCACCAAGGCGACGAUCCUUAGCUGGUCUGAGAGGAUGAUCAGCCACACUGGGACUGAGACACGGCCCAGACUCCUACGGGAGGCAGCAGAGGGGAAUAUUGGACAAUGGGCGAAAGCCUGAUCCAGCAAUGCCGCGUGAGUGAUGAAGGCCUUAGGGUUGUAAAGCUCUUUUACCCGGGAUGAUAAUGACAGUACCGGGAGAAUAAGCUCCGGCUAACCCCGUGCCAGCCGCCGCGGUAA